GCUCCCCUGGCCCGGGGCUGGCAGGGGAGAUGCCCUCCCCGGAGCAGCACCAUUUACGUAAGAUCAGCGCUCACCCCGCUUCAGAAGCGUCUCCCUGGAUUUGAGGGAGGGUUGUGAAGGAAAAAAAAAAAAAAAAAAAUCUCCACCACCACCAAACUGAAAGAAGCCAGCGAGGAAGAGGAAAGCCGAUCCGCAGGAACAUACUACUCAACACCAGGCACUGAAUGGAAGAGAUACCACUGUUUGUUAGACUGGUGGCUUGCACAGGAAAAGAAGGAAUGAAGGUGGAGGAAAAUUAAAAGAAUGAGAAAAGGAAAAUUGAGAAGAAAGAAAAAGAAAAUGCAUGAGUCAGUGUUAUAGUGUAAGUUAAUUAGGAAAAUAAAGGAUCUUUUUAAAUAAAGGGCCUCAUCUCCUGAAA